rnacentral:rRNA from 1 species
AUUGAACGCUGGCGGCAGGCCUAACACAUGCAAGUCGAGCGGCAGCGGGUAGAAAGCUUGCUUUCUGUGCCGGCGAGCGGCGGACGGGUGAGUAAUACCUAGGAAUCUGUCCAUUAGUGGGGAAUAACCAGCCGAAAGGUUGGCUAAUACCGCAUACGCACUACGGGGGAAAGGGGGGGAUCUCCGGACCUCUCGCUAAUGGGGGAGCCUAGGCCGGAUUAGCUAGUUGGUAGGGUAAAGGCCUACCAAGGCGACGAUCCGUAGUUGGUCUGGGAGGAUGACCAGCCACACUGGGACUGAGACACGGCCCAGACUCCUACGGGAGGCAGCAGUGGGGAAUAUUGCACAAUGGGCGAAAGCCUGAUGCAGCCAUGCCGCGUGUGUGAAGAAGGCCUUCGGGUUGUAAAGCACUUUAGGCGGGGAGGAAAAGCUAACGAUUAAUACUUGUUAGCCGUGACGUUACCCGCAGAAUAAGCACCGGCUAACUCCGCGCCAGCCGCCGCAGUAA